GGGUGGCGAGACCCGACUAUCGGUCGGGGGCCUGCUAGGUUCGGCGGGCUCCCGACCUCUCCUCCGCUUCUCUUUCGGGCCUCUGGGCUCGGCCAAACGUCGGUCAGACGCUCCUUCAUCCGCACGCAUAUACUUGUAUGCGCGCUCCAGCAGCUCGGCGUAUGUCCGGGGGAGGGUCUUGUCCAGAGAGUAGGUGAAUCGGGAUGCCCUCAGGCCCCGCUUCAUGGCUGAGACAGCCAUGUCUUCGUUGAGGUCCCGGACCUCAAACGUGGCCGUGUUGAAUCGCGCCACGAAGUGUCGGAGCGUCUCAUUUUCCCCCUGCUUGAGGGAGAAAAGGCUGUCCGACGUUCGCGGCGGCUUUCAGCUGGUGCUGAAAUGGGCCACGAACGAGUGCUCGAGCUGCCCAAAGGAGUGGAUACUUUCCGACCGGAGGCCGGAGUACCAGGCCCUGGCAGCCUUGCGGAGCGUAGCGGGGAAGCCGAUGCAAAAAAGAGCAUCGGUUUCCCCUUGAAUCGUCAUGAGAGCUUUAUAGCCCUCGAGGUGGUCGACUGGGUCGGUGGAGCCGUCGUAUGGCUCCACGUGCGGCAUUUUGAACCGACUGGGAAUUGGCUCGUCGAGGACCAGUCGGGAGAGAGGUUGGGCGGUCUGGAAGUCGACGUCGUUCGAAGACUUCUGGCCGUCCAUCUGCAAC
rnacentral:lncRNA from 1 species